AACAGCAAAAACAAGCUAACAAAAUAACCAACGAGUAAGGGUGUCUGUUUUCGCAGCCUUUUUGGCAUUGUUUCGGUUUAGACGUUUUAUUUUUUUUUGUUUUCUCGUUGCGUUUUGCUUGGCUUUGCCUCAAGUGUUUCUUCUCACUUUGCAAAAUGCAAAGGAAAAGAAAAAUGUUGCAGCUAAUUUGCUUGUUCGGCUAGAAGGGGGAGGGGUGUGCAGAGCGCAACAAGCAAAAAGCCAUUUCGCAAUUUCAAUUGUGCACGUCAAAGUGUUAAAAACGGCACGCGAUUUAUUGUACAAACGCACACAAGAAGAAAAACGCAGUUUUUAAAGUAAAAUCUAAUUGAAAAUUUAAUAUAUCAUAUGUACUAAAAUGCAAGGUUUCCCAAACAUCUGUUUUAAUAUAUAAUUAUGUCUAUACAAAACAUUCCAGAUGAGCCUAAUUGUAAGAGUUUGUUUUAAUACCUGUUCGUACUCCGAUAUAUUACUUGCAUUUCAGUGUAUUGGGGCCAUUAGCUUUUAGAUGAGCUGAAUAAGACUUUUUGUUCCAAGCAAGUCAAAGUUUUUAAUUUUCUUUGGCAUUUCGUUGAUUUCUUUUUUUAUUGAUUUACUGCCUGCAAUCGAGUGUGAAAUUGUCAUGCCCCCAAAUAAAUAUUUGCUAAAAUAUGCCAACAUGCCCGCAUGGCUCUGUAUUUUCGCGUUUAUUCGCAUUUAGUUCUUCAUUUUUUCAUCUCAUUUUUUUAAGCGUUUUCCAUGAUUUAUGCCAGCUUCAUUAAUCUGGGAAAAGGCGAAGGAGCAGCGCGGGUUUGAAUGCUGUUUAUCUUGCCAUCGUUUCUUUUGGCGCUUUUAGCGCUAAGCACAAAACUGGAUGUUGGAAAAAUGAAAUCAAAUUGCCGUUCAUUAAUAAAGCCAAGAGUGCCAAGAGUGGCAAGUGUGUGUAUCCAUCGGAUACCGCCUGUCAAUAGAGCAAGUCUAUGGAAUUCAGCCUGUUUUCGUACUAUACCUCUUUCGCUGGACUUAAUCAUUUGGAAGCGAGCCACAGCUGCCGACUUCAGUUUAUGCCAAUUGAAAUGCAACUAAUUUGUUGGCCCCCCUCAUCCCGCCCCCCUUUUCCCACCAGUCGAGUUCGUAAUUGUUGUUGCAUGCCUAUAAAUUAUGAUAAUUAUUUAAUGCAACCACAAAACGACAGUGGAAAUAAAUCGAAAAAAUAUAAAAUAAAGUUGAAAAAAGCUAUAGCUGAAAACUGAAAUUGUCUGCAGAUAGCCAUGUCAUAUUAAGCAAUUUAUUGAUGGAAAGAGACAGAAAGCGACGAACUAUCUUAUUUUUUCUCGAUACCUACAAUUAUCACGCAAAUGUCCAUAAUAAUCAUGUGGAUAAUGACUAUUAUAUACAUCAAUCCAUCUAAAUGUGUGUGUACACGAUAAUCAUGCCGAAUACAAAAGGCAAUUUACGUAAAUUACACAAAAAAAUCGCAGAAAAUUAAACAAUUUACAAAAGACAAGCCCCCCAUUAAUAAACAUGAAAUAUUGUUGCGGCGAAACUUUUGUAAUGAACCGAACCAACCAAAAUCAACAAUACAGGGAAAAAAUUAAAAUAUAUGGUAAAAAAAAAUAAACGUGGGUACACAAAAAGCAGAUAAACGAAAAAUAAACUUAAAAAAACUGAGAAAUGUAUAUGGCAUAAUCUUUUUAUGGCCAUAAAGCUUAAGCAGGCAGUCGGAAUGUUUUUUUUUUCUUUUUGGGCUUGAGGUGUAUGUUUGUUUAAUUAUUUAAGGCGAAAUACAUUCAGGUCUACAAAAAAACGGAGAGCGAAACUGAGCAGCUGCCAAUUGCGGUGGUAAUAGUUAAUUAUAAACUAGUAUUUUUCCAGGAUUAUCGUCAAUAUCGGGAAGGUAAAUACAUAGUUUUCACAAUUCCUGGCUAACUAUUCACAAAACUAACCUCUCACAUUUCCAUACAAUUUUCCUGCUUUGUGGAGGAGCACUCACUAUAGAAGUCGAGGGCCCUCUCCGCAGUGAAACCAUCCAUAUCGACCAUAAAGUUAUUUACAUUUUCCCCAAGCGACAGCGACGAGGCGCGGCGAAGGGGCAAAAAAUGAGUGGCGGUGGAGCUGCACACAGAAAAAUAAAUCAAGAAGAAAAAAAAAAAAAAAAAAGACAGCUCGCUGUGAGUUUCAUUUGCGUUGCGGGGAAGCUAAAGCCGCCAAAUAAAGAAUCAUAAAAGAUAUCAAAAUAAAUAUGAGGCAGCCGAGGGGCCGCGGAGCCGAGGAAGCAGUUAAAGCUUCAGUAGCAUUGGGCUCAGCAGGCGCUCUCAUUGUUGUUCUUGUUGCUGUUGUUGUUGGUUGCAAAUGCUUAGCUGGUAUUUAGAGGGAAAAAAUAAAUAACCAAGAAGAACUCGAGUCGAAGUCGACGACGCGCCAGUCAAACAAAUAAACUCGCCAAAAACGAGCCAGCUUGAUGGACUGCGAACCUCACAGACCAAAACUUCUCCACCUACACCGCCUCUGAUUUCUCUCUACUCUCCCCCUUCCCUUGCAAAACAACUGAAAUCCGCCGCUAGGCAAAUAAACCACAGAGUGAGUUUUAUGGGACACACGAAAAAAAUCUGAAAAACCUUUGCAUGACCAAUAGAUGUGGUGCCUUUCGGCACGGAUUAUGACUGAAAAGAUACAACCGUAACUAAAGAUGAUUUUUGUAGGCGCCGGAAUUUCUCUACUCUUUCCCAACUAAAAUUUAUUCGAUUUUUCGCUAUUUUUGGCCACUAAAUUGUCGGCGCGUGUGUCUGAAUAAAACACAAAAAAAACCAAAACAAUUUAACAACAUAUCAACUCAGAUAAGACAUAAACAAGUCAAAAUCUACACGAGGUUUUUUUCCCGCCGCUGUUGUUAUGGAAACUUUAGCUCGUUUAUCAAAUUGCGAGACAAUUUUUGUAUGUGCGCUCAAUUAGCACGGGCUAAUAAAGCUUAAAAUAAAUAUGAUAUAUAUUCGUUUUGUUUAACUAUUUUGUAUGUUUCAAUCGAGCUCUAUUUUAAUUUGAAAAUUCAGUAUAAAAACUGAACUGAUUCAGUAUUUAAAUAAAGAACCAUGUUUGAUGGCCUAGGGAAAAUAAUGCAAUAAAUAAUUGUUUGCUACCACUUAUGUCAGCAGAAAAAGGCAUCAAUUUUGUAAUUAGGAAAUGUUCCGUUGCACAAUGGAAUUUCAGUUGAUUUUUGCUCGUUUUUUGUUUACGUUGCCUGCAGCGGCUGCUUAUCAGGCAUUGUUUUCAUUUCGUUUUAUUUAUACUGUGUCAUAAAAAAUAAAUAUUAAUUGAGAUUAUCGCAAUGUGAUAUUGCUAUAUUUACACGUUAUAAUUAAUUGUUCUUAUUUAUUGAAUAUGCAUAGCCCCUCAACCCCCUACCCUCUAGUCACAGUUUAAAUUGAGUUAUUUGCGCGGCGAGGAAUAAAUAAAUACGCAUGUAUAUGUUGCAUAAAAUUAAACGUGUUCAAAUGACAUUAAAUGUGGUUUUUUAUUGAGCUUUCAUUUCGUCUCAUUUUUGGCCUCUGCCCAUCUGCCAAAACGGCGAAAUAUAUAAAAAUAUGCAAAUUGAUAUUGGCCGUGUGUGAGUAUAAUAUAAUUUAUCUGCAUGUUCGGGCCGCCCUGUGGCUGGCAGCAUAAAUUAAUUAUCAAAAGCAUUCAUUUACAUGGCUGACUGCGCGAUCCGACACCCGCUGGCAGGCGGCACCCCCUGCCCACCCAUAGAUACUGUAUCUCACGGAUACACAAUACAUGCACAUACGAUAUGCUCAAGUGUGUGUACGUGUAUGGACCCCCUCCCCUACUCCUCACCCCAACCGUUCCACAGGCCCAGAGUCAAUUUAAAAAAACAUCAUCACAAUCAAUUUGCUUCGUUUCUCGUGAUGGGAAUUAAGUUUUUGUAUAUUUGUGUAUCUCUCGCCUUUUGCCUCUGCAUCAUCGUCAGCUGUUGUUGUAUUUUGUUUGGGGUUUUAUUGUUUUUUUUUUUUGUCUUAUUUGUAUUGUUGUAGUUGGCCCACAUUAUCUAGUGAACGUUGAACGCUUUCGUGCCCCUGUUGUUGUAGUUUUAUUGUUGUUCUUGCCUUCCUACAUGUGUUUAGCGUGUUCAGAAAUUUGCUUUUUUAAUGACGCUCUUGUUGAUUGCCGGCUAUUUGUUAUUAGCCCCCGGAGACCCCGCGAAGCCCCCUAAAAACCCCCAUUGUGUCGGCUGCCCUUGUUUUUAGCUCAUUUGCAAAUUUCAGAAUUUGCAAAUUUAAUGCAAUUUAUUAAUAGUUCGAAUUGCUUAUUUAUGGUUCGUUUCACUUGAUUUAGUGGUGCAAGCAUUUUCAGCCAUUGUCAUGAUGACAGCAAAUGGAUUUAGAUGAAGCCAUAUACACAAGUUUCACAAUUUGGCUUUAUUUCUGAGGUUCUGAAAAUGUUAGAAGAAUUUUGGGGAUUUCAUAGUAUUUAAGUUCUCUACCCGUUUUAUUAGUACCUAAUAAUUCGGAAACUAUAACAGGAAUUUGAUUAAUAGUACAACAAUUUUUUCCUACAACUAAGUUUUACUAUAUAGUCUCAAUGAUUUAGUGUAAUUUUGGUUUUUCUUUUCUUAUCUUAUCUGAAAUAAGUUAAGUGCAAAUAAAUCACAGAUUUAAACAGCGGUUUCUUUUUAUUCUAAGCGCAUAAAACGGGUUUUAAAUUAAGUACCACUUAGUUCUAUUAUCAAUAAGAUAAUGCAUUUGGGAAUUGUGUAAGCAAAUAACAAGCUUCUAGCUUGUUCUUUUUUUGUAUUAAAUGAAAUAAAUAGAAUCAAUUCCAAUCGAAUUCAGUGAAAUUAAAAGGUUUCAAUUCAAUUUGCACACAGUAUUCCCUUGACUAUUGCUUGUCAGAGCUGAGAAAACGGAAUAUAAUCCAUUUUCACAGUGCUGGAACUGAAACUGAAUUGAACUUAGCUGAACCGAGCUGAGCUGAAAUUGAAAUUGCAAACUUCGAGCUCGAUGCUAAUUCGCAUGGGCGGACAGAUAGGCAGUUAGACAGGCGGAAAGUCAGACGGACAGACGGGACGGAGGGGUCGGGGGCGGAAACGAACCAACUGACUUGCAAACGAAGCAACGUUUGUCACUGUCGGGGCGUUUUAUGAAAAUUGAACAAAUCAAUUAAGUCUAAUCGUGCUUUGCCUUUGGGUGGGGCCCCAGUAGUCGGGGGCUCUGGCAUUUGUUUGGCCCCCUCGACAGACAAAUGGACAUAUAAAUGUCUGCAUACGGGGGCCAAUGCCAGAUUGCCAUGGCUUUUCUGUAACUACUGCUCGCUAAAAGCGAAAAGAACAUAAAUAAUAUAUGUACGAAGCUUUGUAGCAAAAGUAGUAACAACAACAACAACAGCGCCGGGGCACAUGCUACAAAUUAUGAACACUGUAAUUAUAUUCGUAUAAUAUUUUGUCAGCCAAUUGACACAUUUGCUGUGGGUGCAAAAGAGCAGGCUUAUGUGUGCUGAAAAGAGAUGGAGCGACGGGCAAUUACGCUGGAGCUCUCGGCUAAAGUCGGUUAACGUGGCUCUUGGCUGCAAUUGCUGGCCGCCAUCUGCGGCAGUUGCGGUUACCGUGGGGCAAGUGCGGCACUGCACAGUUGGGCAAAGUGAAGUAUGUUCGAAAAACCAACAAAAUGUGCCUCUAUUGAAUCAAUUAGGCUGAAAUUUUCUUAUUUAAUAGAAGUAUUAAUAUAUCAUAAGAAAAUGGAAGUGAAAGAAUAACAAAGAAAGUCGUACUACACUCUUUAUCUUUAUCUCGACUUGCCAGCUUAGUUGGCACUGUGACACUUUAAAGUUCUUUUGGCCGAAUAUCAACUGUAUCUGACGGGUUGGCUGACUAACUUGGCUGGCAACUUUUAGCGGCGCACAGUGUGACAAAUUAAUACGUAUGUAUGUAUGUAGGAAUAUGAGUGUGCUUCCAUGUUCCCCGGCUCGUUUCCAUAUCUGUGUACAUGCAGUUCUACACACAAACUCGGCUCGGUUCAGUUUGGCUCGUUCGCUGCUACUGCUGCUGCUGGUGCUAAUGACCGUAACUAAGUUGGCGUCACGAUUGUGUGCGCCACUGGAAGCCAGAUUCCCCACCCCCUUUCCACCACCCCCCUUCAUGCUACCCUUCUCCCGGGCACUAUGAAGCCCCCUUGUGCGGUUUACUUUGUACCGGCCAUUUGUGUAAAAUAUUUUAGUGUUAUGGCCGGGCCAAGAGAGCGCUGCCUAAUAGUCGCUUAAUUGUAUCUGCGUGUGCGUAUCUGUAGCUGUGUGUAUCGCCCAGUGUAUCUAUGCAUUUAUGACUAAACAGUUGUUUAAAUAAACACUUUUGGCAUGUUUACCCGAAAUGCGUCUGCAAUGUUUACUUAAUUAAAUCGAAAAAUGAGCAAACAAAACGAAACGAUAAACGCAAACAACAACCCUAUGCUCUGUCUCAAACGAUAUAAACUUAAAUUUAAAUAAGCUUCAGAUAAGGCAACGGAGAUUUUGCUUCCGGAAUUAGUAGAGUAGUAGAAUUAGUAGUAGUAGUAGAAUUUGAAUUUGCACAGAUAAGCUGAAUAAUGAAGUCGAAAUGCUCGUUAAGUAAAUGUAUUUUUUUAUGGCACAUAAUUUAUGGCCAAAUGGAUAGUUGAGAAGUGAAAGAUUUGCACAGUAAAGCUUAUAUUAGUUGAAACCUAGUAGGUAUUUAGUAAAACCAUCUAUUAAAGUAGUUGUCAUUGUGCUUUUUUGUGAAGUAUUGUUGAUAUAUUUGAAAAGGAAAAUAAGUGAAAAAUUUUAAACUUUUCCGCACUUCCAUUUUAUCAGACAUAUGGGACACACACACUCAUAAACCCGAUAUUCAUUUUCAUAAUUCGAGUAAAUGCAAAACACGCCCAGUGCCUCCCCCUUUCCCCACCGUCGCCCCACCAACACCCCCACCCCCCUCGCACCGUACCGCUCCCCCGUUUUGUUUAUCGCUCAUCGUUCGGCUUCUCGUUCGCCGUGCGCGCUGUUUGGCAUUCGGUUCGCUUGACGCGUCGCCGCAGGCUUCAUUAGGUGAGCGUGAUUCCGAUUCGCAUUUCCAUUUCGACAACGAUUCCCAUGCCCCCCGCUGCACCGCCACCGCCCCUCCUCCUGCCCCUCCCCCAACGCCCUCUUCUUGAUGACCCGCGAAUUCCGCUUGUCUUCCCACAUUACGCUUGCAAAACGAAAUUCCAUUCCAUUGGUGCCGAACAAAAACCCAAAUUAAAUCCACUUCAAUAAAUCUCAAAAAGGUAACAAACAAAACAAAAAGAAACAAAAACCAAGCACACCACCAGGCCUGUCAAUUUUCUAAUCGCCCGAAAUAACAACAAAAAAACUCCAUUUAAUUACAAAUCGGCUUAGAUUGAAACGCCUUAAUUGGCAUUAGCUCGAAAAAAAAUGUGUACACGAAAUACUUGUGUUAAACGCGGCAGCGCAUUCAGACUUUUGUGCACUGCCUACAUUCGGGAAUAAGAGGGUGAAAGUCGCAGAGAAAUUUUGGGAACUUUUCACAGGCAGUGGGGAAAGUUUUCGGUGCAGAAAGUUGAUGCGAUUAUGAUUUUCAAUUUUCAGCAGUCAACGCCGAAAAGCGAGAAUGGACAUCAUAAAGUCCUGCCGACGUCGGUGAUGCUGAAGCAAAGUGGAAAUGUGGAGACGAGGGAAAUGUGGAAAUGUGAAAAUGCCAGCCGAACAAACACAGCCACAGGCGCAGAUGAAAGAGAGCAGAGAGCUACACAAAAUGUGAUAGAUGGAUAAUGUCCUGGCGGGGAGCUUUAUGCGAGGGGUGCAAGUGUAAGGGGCAGUCUCUCUCUGCUUGCGGCCACCGACAAUAAAUUGAGUUUUGCCCAUCCAAGUCCAAGUCCAACUCCAAGACCAAGACCAGGCCAAAAAGCGCCAGCUGUUCCACUCCCAAACUCCCAAAAUCCCGAGCUACCGAGCGAACAGUAGCUGCAAAUCCCCAGCUCAGUUAUAACAUUUAUCGUUGUGCAAACUGCCAGCAGCAGCCGUAGAAGUUGUCCGUUCCAAGGGAUAAGGAUGCACACAAUGUCGAAGGAAAGUCCACCCAUGUGGAUACACGGCGAAAAAUUCAGGAGCUGCAGUUCCAUAAAUAUUGUGCCCACUUUCAGUGUCUUUGUUUUAGUGUUCAAAUAAAAGGCGUCACUGCACAGUGGCUGGCAGAGGGGAAGGAUUGGGCAGGACAAAUAGAAAGUCGGUUGUGCCACGACCCUUGCCGCAAAUAUUUAUGAAAUGAAUACGCUCGCAUUCCCGGCGCUACUCUGAUUGAUGCCCACUGAUGAUGGCCAAUGAGGAGCAGGAGACAUGGGUUCGCUGGACAGUCGGAUGGGUGGAUGGGUGGAUGGAUGGAUGAGUGGAUGGGAUGAUGGCUGGGCCCAUUCGAAAUCACUUUGCAGCUGAACCAAUCGACCGGCAUCGUCUAACGACAAUGACAUGUUUAUCCAGGCGGCAUUCCAAGCCGAUCAUUUACACCUUUGCAUCCCUCCAAUUCGCAAUUUCAUCAAUUACAGCAUUUAAUCAACUCGUUAAGCCAGCUCCAAUGAGCACAAGCCCUCUGUGCGCCACCUGUCGAUAACCCAAAGGGUAACCGGACACUGAGCGAAAUAAUUGCUGUUGAAAAAUAUGUAAAAAUACAUACGUUUAAUAACCCAAGCUAGAUAUGCAUGGUUAGUUAUCUGCUUAUCACUUUUAUUGAAUAGUUUUUGAGCUUAAACUCAUAGAUUAACAUAAAAAAUAAAUAUUACAAAAAAAAUGUUCAUAAGUUCUGGAUAAAAUGUAUUUUAGCAUAUUACUUUGUUAUCUACGAAUGACCUGAAACAAGUAAUAACACACUUCCUCUUGCAAUAAGAAAUACUGCGACUAAUCAAAUAUAUUAUAUUAAGGGACAUAUAAA